rnacentral:rRNA from 1 species
GACGAACGCUGGCGGCGUGCCUAAUACAUGCAAGUAGAACGCACAGGAUGCACCGUAGUUUACUACACCGUAUUCUGUGAGUUGCGAACGGGUGAGUAACGCGUAGGUAACCUGCCUGGUAGCGGGGGAUAACUAUUGGAAACGAUAGCUAAUACCGCAUAAGAACAUUUACUGCAUGGUAGAUGUUUAAAAGGUGCAAAUGCAUCACUACCAGAUGGACCUGCGUUGUAUUAGCUAGUAGGUGAGGUAACGGCUCACCUAGGCGACGAUACAUAGCCGACCUGAGAGGGUGAUCGGCCACACUGGGACUGAGACACGGCCCAGACUCCUACGGGAGGCAGCAGUAGGGAAUCUUCGGCAAUGGGGGGAACCCCUGACCGAGCAACGCCGCGUGAGUGAAAGAAAGGGUUUUUCGGGAUCGUAAAAGCUCUG